rnacentral:rRNA from 1 species
GAUGAACGCUAGCUAUAGGCUUAACACAUGCAAGUCGAGGGACCGGCGCACGGGUGAGUAACGCGUAUCCAACCUGCCCAUAACUAAGGGAUAACCCAGCGAAAGUUGGACUAAUACCUUAUGGUUUUGGAUGGGGAUGCUUCUGAUUAGUUUGUUGGUGAGGUAACGACUCACCAAGACUUCGAUCAGUAGGGGUUCUGAGAGGAAGGCACCCCACAAUGGAACUGAGACACGGACCAAAAUCCGACGGGAGGCAGCAGUAAGGAAUAUUGGUCAAUGGAUGCAAAUCUUAACCAGCCAAGUAGCGUGCAGGAUCACGGCCUAUUGGUUGUAAACUGCUUUUAUGGGAGAAGAGGUAUCAGAUGAAUAAGGACCGGCUAAUUCCGUGCCAGCAGCCGCGGUAAUAC